GCGCUCGUAGCUCAGUUGGAUAGAGCACUGGCCUCCGGAGCCAGGUUUUGCGGGGGUUCGAGUCCCUUCGAGCGCACCA
rnacentral:tRNA from 2 species